rnacentral:tRNA from 1 species
AGGAUAGUAGUUAAUUAUAACAUUUAAUUUGCAAUUAAAAAGUAUUGCCUUCAAUCUAUCUUA